GACAUCAUUUUCAAUCAGCUCCCAAUGAAUGAGCAUCGAUCGAUUUCCUAUUUAAAGUCAAAUCUAAGCCAUUUAUUGUAUCAUAAAUCGACAACUUCACUUGAGAAACAGUUAAAAGUAAAUUUCUUUAUUUUGUUGCAUUCAAUCAUUGUUGAACCUACUAACUGAACAUGGACCGUGAUAAUCGAACCAACCAGUGUAAUCCAUCUCAUGCCCCAAGUGGCCCAGGCCACAAUGCUGCCUACCAAGGGACUGGAACCAAGAGUGAUCUUGGUAAUCAUGCUAACCAGGGAAACCCCAACAACCAGGCCUAUCAUAGCAGCCGAGGUGGCGGCAAGAAGUAAACAUGAAAACAGCUUAUCCCAAGAUUCAUGAAGUGGUUAAUUCGUUUCUUAUUCAUUUUCUUAAAAGCUUGACAUCUAUUGAAUCUUACUAAA